AUGGUUGUCGUCAGCUCGUGCCGUGAGGUGUCGGCUUAAGUGCCAUAACGAGCGCAACCCUUAUCUUUAGUUACUAACAGGUCAUGCUGAGGACUCUAGAGAGACUGCCGUCGUAAGAUGUGAGGAAGGUGGGGAUGACGUCAAAUCAGCACGGCCCUUACGUCCGGGGCUACACACGUGUUACAAUGGGGGGUACAGAAGGCAGCUACCUGGUGACAGGAUGCUAAUCCCAAAAGCCUCUCUCAGUUCGGAUCGAAGUCUGCAACCCGACUUCGUGAAGCUGGAUUCGCUAGUAAUCGCGCAUCAGCCAUGGCGCGGUGAAUACGUUCCCGGGCCUUGUACACACCGCCCGUCAAGCCAUGAAAGCCGGGGGUACCUGAAGUACGUAACCGCAAGGAGCGUCCUAGGGUAAAACUGGUAAUUGGGGCUAAGUCGUAACAAGGUAGCCGUACCGGAAGGUGCGGCUGGAUCACCUC
rnacentral:rRNA from 1 species